rnacentral:rRNA from 1 species
AACGAACGCUGGCGGCAUGCCUAACACAUGCAAGUCGAACGAACCCUUCGGGGUGAGUGGCGCACGGGUGCGUAACACGUGGGAACCUGCCCCUAGGUUCGGAAUAACAGUUAGAAAUGACUGCUAAUACCGGAUAAUGUCUUCGGACCAAAGAUUUAUCGCCUUUGGAUGGGCCCGCGUAGGAUUAGCUAGUUGGUGAGGUAAAGGCUCACCAAGGCGACGAUCCUUAGCUGGUCUUAGAGGAUGAUCAGCCACACUGGGACUGAGACACGGCCCAGACUCCUACGGGAGGCAGCAGUGGGGAAUAUUGGACAAUGGGCGAAAGCCUGAUCCAGCAAUGCCGCGUGAGUGAUGAAGGCCUUAGGGUUGUAAAGCUCUUUUACCUGGGAUGAUAAUGACAGUACCAGGAGAAUAAGCCCCGGCUAACUCCGUGCCAGCCGCCGCAGUAAAAC